rnacentral:hammerhead_ribozyme from 1 species
AUCCAGUUGACAAGUCCCAAAUAAGACGAAACACAUGUCCUGGAU